rnacentral:rRNA from 1 species
UACAGAGGGGGCAAGCGUUGUUCGGAAUUACUGGGCGUAAAGGGCGCGUAGGCGGCCGCCUAAGUCAGACGUGAAAUCCCUCGGCUCAACCGGGGAACUGCGUCUGAUACUGGGUGGCUUGAAUCCGGGAGAGGGAUGCGGAAUUCCUGGUGUAGCGGUGAAAUGCGUAGAUAUCAGGAGGAACACCUGUGGUGUAGACGGCUUUCUGGACCGUAGCUGACGCUGAGACACGAAAGCGUGGGUAGCAAACAGG